rnacentral:rRNA from 1 species
AUUGAACGCUGGCGGCAGGCCUAACACAUGCAAGUCGAGCGGAUGAAGGGAGCUUGCUCCUGGAUUCAGCGGCGGACGGGUGAGUAAUGCCUAGGAAUCUGCCUGGUAGUGGGGGAUAAUGUCUGGAAACGGGCGCUAAUACUGCCUACGUCCUGCGGGUGCAAGUGGGGGAUCUUCGGACCUCACGCUAUCAGAUGAGCCUAGGUCGGAUUAGCUAGUUGGUGGGGUAAAGGCCUACUAAGGGGACGAUCCGUAACUGGUCUGAUAGGAUGAUCAGUCGCACGGGAGGUUGAACAGGGACAAGGGUCCUACGAGAGGGAGCAGACGGGAAUGGUAGGCAGUAGGGGAGAGCAUUGUCCAGCCAUGCGACGUGUGAGAAGGAGGUCUUCGGAGUGUAAAGCACUUUAUGUUGGGGGAAAGGGCAUUAAGUUAAUACCUUGCUGGUUUGACGUUACCAACAAAAUAAGCACCGGCUAACUUCGUG